GCCAGCCCGCUCAGAACUUAAUGAAUUGACGGGGCCGCACAAGCGGAGAGCAUGUGGUUAAUUCGAUGAUACGCGAGGAACCUUACCUGGGCUCGAACGUAAGAUGACUGUAGGUGAAAGCUUACAUCUCUUCGGAGCAUUUUACGAGGUGCUGCAUGGUUGUCGUCAGCUCGUGCCGUGAGGUGUCGGGUUAAGUCCCAUAACGAGCGCAACCCCUACCUUUAGUUGCCAUCAGGUUAAGCUGGGGACUCUAAAGGAACUGCCUACGCAAGUAGUGAGGAAGGCGGGGAUGACGUCAAAUCAGCACGGCCCUUACGUCCAGGGCUACACACGUGCUACAAUGGCCGAUACAGAGGGCAGCUACCUGGUGACAGGAUGCAAAUCUCCAAAGUCGGUCUCAGUUCGGAUCGGAGUCUGCAACCCGACUCCGUGAAGUUGGAUUCGCUAGUAAUCGCGCAUCCAGCCAUGGCGCGGUGAAUACGUUCCGGCCUU
rnacentral:rRNA from 1 species